GUUGACCUCGGAUCAGGUAGGAAUACCCGCUGAACUUAAGCAUAUCAAUAAGCGGAGGAAAAGAAACCAACAGGGAUUGCCCUAGUAACGGCGAGUGAAGCGGCAACAGCUCAAAUUUGAAAUCUGGCCCCAGGCCCGAGUUGUAAUUUG
rnacentral:rRNA from 1 species